UUAUAAAUCAUCUCUUUUAUUAAGAAUGAAUUUUGAUUUGGUUAGUGUAUGUUUUGGGGGUUUAUACUUACCCUAUUUUAUCGUUUAUUAAAACAACAUCCAAAUUGAAGUUGUUUACUUUUUAAAAUUACUUUACUUGAUUAGUUCAUACUGGAAAUUAGUGGUCUGUUAUUGUCUGAGAUUUGUUGUAUUGUGGAUAACAGAGGUCUCACUAAAUGGUCAUAUACAUUAAGUUUGCUAGGAAUUAAUAAAAUAAAGUAAACCCAAUUCACAGGUUUAUGAUUGCUUUUGUUGGGGUUUUAGUAUUUUUUGAUUUAUAAUUGUUUUUCAUAGUUAUUGUUCCAUUUGAUACCUUAUUUGUAAUGUUCAUGUCCAAUGGGUUUCUCAAUUUCUACAAUAGUUAUUUUCCUUAGGGUGGGGUGGACAUGGGGGUGAUUUUUUUUGAAGAAUGAUUAGCAUGUCGUUCGAAUUACUCGUUUAAUCGAUCAUCAGCGAUUUCAAAAACUUAAUCACUUUCGUUAAUGAAAAUGAUGCCUGAUGCUUUUAUGAAGACUGAUUUCAUCACUACAAGAAAAAAGUUGAUUUGCUGCAAUUGAUUUGCUGCAUUUUUGGCAAUACGCCGCAAAUCAAAGUGGAGUUUAUAUAGAUUUUAGUCCAUUACCGCUUAUUUUUUAUUACAAUUAUUAAUUAGCAGGGUUUUUUCCUUUGAACCGCUGCAAAUCAAUUGUCCUACAUUUACCCUAAACCCUGCUUCCUUAGUCGCCCAGUUCAUUCAUUACUCUCUCUCUCCUCUUCUUCCACCUUCCUCGUUUCUCACUCCAAUAAUUCGAGUUCCUUACAAAUCCUCGAUCACCGGCGAUUUAGGUUCCUUAAUUAUCCUCGAUCAUCUACGACUUGAGUUUCUCACUCAUACUCACCGAGUCCUCGGUGCAGCUUUGACUCUCAUCCUCUAUACAUCAUCCAUGGCUGCCGCUACCAUUUACUGCAUUCAUCAUCAUCAUCAUCAUCAUCGUCUUCUUCAUCAGAAUCUCAUCUAUUAUUGCUGAUCCUUUUGAUCGAUUAUCUAGGGUUUCCCAACAAAAAACCCCUUACUCCGACCAAAUUAUCUCGAUUUCUUGAAGUGCAAGUGGCGAAGAAGGUCAGUGUUUUUUAUUUCGCUAAAAUUUUUGUUUCAAUUGUUAAUUUCCGUAAACAAAUUGGAUUUGAACAAUCCCAAAUUAAAAAGGUCAUUGCUUAUGUACCUUGAAUCCUGUGUGCUAAUGUUGACAAAACUCUAAAACUUAAAAUUAGUCUUCUUCAAGACUUGUGAUUUUCUGGGUCUUAAUUAGUUCAUGCUAUAGUGGCUAAUUCAUUGUUGUUGGCAGCGUUUGAGUCGUUCAAUCAAAGUGUCACCUACCGAUCUAACGGGUUGCGCUCACCGCCACUCUCAUAGUUAGAUGCCACUCAUGGUAUUGCUUAUCGGAUGCUGCUGAUGUUGCUGCCUACUUGACGUCACUACAUUUGUUUCCUCCUAUAGUCCUAUUGCAUCUCCAAUCAUCGAAUCUCUAAGUUUGUAAUUUUGUGGAGUAUGAAUUUUGGGUGAUUCAUGUUAACAUAAGGCGGCUACGCUCCCGUUGUGUCCUGUUGCAUACCUUUGUUUUGGUUUUGCCCCAAUUGUGUUAUGUUGAGUUGCUGAAAGGCCUGUCGCUUUUCCAAUGUAUUUUUUUUUUAAUUUUUUUAAAAUGAAAGUGUAAUGUAAUAGUUCAGGAAUUUAUUUAUUAAUGGAAAUAUAUUAGAUUAUAUAUUUA